GACGAACGCUGGCGGCGUGCCUAAUACAUGCAAGUUGAGCGCUGAAGGUUGGUACUUGUACCAACUGGAUGAGCAGCGAACGGGUGAGUAACGCGUGGGGAAUCUGCCUUUGAGCAGGGGACAACAUUUGGAAACGAAUGCUAAUACCGCAUAAAAACUUUAAACACAAGUUUUAAGUUUGAAAGAUGCAAUUGCAUCACUCAAAGAUGAUCCCGCGUUGUAUUAGCUAGUUGGUGAGGUAAAGGCUCACCAAGGCGAUGAUACAUAGCCGACCUGAGGGGGUGAUCGGCCACAUUGGGACUGAGACACGGCCCAAACUCCUACGGGAGGCAGCAGUAGGGAAUCUUCGGCAAUGGACGAAAGUCUGACCGAGCAACGCCGCGUGAGUGAAGAAGGUUUUCGGAUCGUAAAACUCUGUUGGUAGAGAAGAACGUUGGUGAGAGUGGAAAGCUCACCAAGUGACGGUAACUACCCAAAAAGGGACGGCUAACUACGUG
rnacentral:rRNA from 1 species